UACGAAGGGUGCAAGCGUUACUCGGAAUUACUGGGCGUAAAGGGUGCGUAGGUGGUUUUUAAGUCCGUUGUGAAAUCCCUGGGCUCAACCUGGGAAUGGCAGUGGAUACUGGAAAGCUAGAGUGCGGUAGAGGGUAGUGGAAUUCCCGGUGUAGCAGUGAAAUGCGUAGAGAUCGGGAGGAACACCAGUGGCGAAGGCGGCUACCUGGACCAGCACUGACACUGAGGCACGAAAGCGUGGGGAGCAAACAGGG
rnacentral:rRNA from 1 species